rnacentral:rRNA from 1 species
GAAACUGCCUGAUGGAGGGGGAUAACUACUGGAAACGGUAGCUAAUACCGCAUAACGUCGCAAGACCAAAGUGGGGGACCUUCGGGCCUCAUGCCAUCAGAUGUGCCCAGAUGGGAUUAGCUAGUAGGUGGGGUAACGGCUCACCUAGGCGACGAUCCCUAGCUGGUCUGAGAGGAUGACCAGCCACACUGGAACUGAGACACGGUCCAGACUCCUACGGGAGGCAGCAGUGGGGAAUAUUGCACAAUGGGCGCAAGCCUGAUGCAGCCAUGCCGCGUGUGUGAAGAAGGCCUUCGGGUUGUAAAGCACUUUCAGCGGGGAGGAAGGCGGUAAGGUUAAUAACCUUGGCGAUUGACGUUACCCGCAGAAGAAGCACCGGCUAACUCCGUGCCAGCAGCCGCGG